GGACAUAGCUCAGUUGGUGUAGAGCACCUGGCUUAUAUCCAGUAUGUUGCAGGUUCGAGUCCUGCUGUCAC
rnacentral:tRNA from 1 species